AGCUCAGACCUCCAGUACUGAAUUGAAUAGAACUGGUGAAAGUAGUCAUGUUUGUCUUGUUCCUAAUCUUAAAAGAAAAGCUCUCAAUGUUUUACUAUUGGGAAUUCAUCCAGGUUAUCCAAUUAAUUGGCAUACAAUUGUUCCAGCCUACUCUGAAGCUACCACUAGUUAUGGGAUAGCACUACCACAAAAGUAGUGGCACAGUUAUGCAAGUUACACAACAGUACAGACGCUAAAACUCUGAGUUAAUGUCAUCUUUCUGAACAAAGAAAAUGUGUAAAAUGACCCGUCAUGCAAGACUGAGCGAAAUCACAAAAAGAAAAGAAUUAAAAAAUGGUAACUCCAAUUCUGAUGUGAGCUGACACAAAUUCUGGACUCCAUCCUGAGCUGUGCAAACACAGCAACACAUCCAAAGAACUAUGGUAAACUUUUUAAGAACUGAACUAUGGGGCAGCCCCGUUGGCUCAGCAGUUUAGCGCUGCCUUCGGUCCAGGGCCUGACCCUGGAGACCCGGGAUCGAGUCCCAUGUCGGGCUCCUUGAAUGAAGCCUAUUUCUCCCUCUGCCUGUGUCUCUGCCUCUCUCUCUCUCUCUCUGUGUGUCUCUCAUGAAUAAACAAAUUAAAAAAAAAAGAACUGAACUAUGAUAUAAAUAUUUCCCCAAAUCCCAGGCUAAAUCUUGAAUGAUGUAUGCAUCCAGCAAAUCUAGAUAGAGUAGGAAAGCCUUUCAACUGACUUUGAAGCUAUUUUGCACAGAAGGUGAGACAAAAUUUGUGGUAUGAACCUAACCAUAUUAUUAUUUGCUACAUUAUUAUAUGAACCAUUAUUAUUUGCUACAGCAAAUAACAACAACAACAAAAAACUAAAACAGUGUUCUCCAGGAAAUGCUAAAAGGAUCUAAAGCCUUAUAUCAUAGUAUUAAUAAUGUUAAAAAUAACUGGCACAAAAGCAGACACAUAGAUCAAUGGAACAGAAUAGAGAAACCAGUAAUGGACCUUCAAUUCUAUGAUCAACUAAUCUUC